rnacentral:lncRNA from 10 species
UGGAAGACUUAUGGGAAAGGAGGAGAAUAGUCUAGUUGGGUUGACCCUAACAUUCCAGCCUUCUAACAGAUAAUAGAAAAGCAGUGUUGUUCUCAUCAGUCUGCUUUAAGCUGAGAAGGGGCAGUGGUUAGUGGGAGAGGCUGUAAGGUAGGGGUUGGUUUUGGUUCUGGUUUAAAAAUUGUCGGUCUUCUUGGAGUAACAUCAUGUCCUGUAUGGUUCUCUGGGUGAAGGCUCGGAUGCGAUUUUGUAAAAACUGAGUGAAUAGGCGCAAGAGGCAGAGCCCAAAGGCCAGGAGAAGGAGGAUAGUUAUAGCAGGGCCAAGGAGGGGAAGUAGCCAGGUGGCCCAAGAACUGAGACACCAAGGGGACCAAGGGGGCCAAGAGGGCCAGGCAGAGGAGCUGUUUUAUUUUCUGAGCUUGGUCUUUGAGCUUCUUGACUGCAUCUUGUACCAAACCUGAUUGGUUGAGAUAAAAACAGCACUGCUCAUCUAAGAAAAUGCAGAGACCUCCUUUUUCAGGGGUGGAGAGUAGAAGAGAGGAUAAUAUAAAGAUCACGCCAAGUGAGUUUGUAAGAUUGGGUAAGGUAUUUGAACUCCUUAAUAUAAGUGUCGGGAUCAGAGAAAAAGGACUCCAGAUGUUUUUCAAUUUGGAAAUGGUCAGAGAGGGAGAAGGGAACAUGGAAAUGCAAAUGAUCCCUUCAGUCCCAGCCACCUCUCAAAGGGUAAGUAUGGGAGCUGGUUGUUGGGCAUGCUGAGUUCAUGAGUGGGUAUCAGGUGGGGAUGGGGAGGAAUCAGAAUCAGAAGCUGGGUGGCUGGAGAUAGUGGGAGAAAGAGAUAAGGCAGGAUCGGGAGCAUAUGGUGGAGGAUCGUGAUGCUCUGGCAGAAGAUUAUGAUGUUGUUGGGGAGGAGGAAAGCGGGCAGAGUCAAAGGAGGAGGAAUCGUCAGAAGGAGUGGUGAGGUGGGUGGCUGAGGAUGGGUCAGGCUUGGAGCAGGGAAGGAGGGUCUGGAAGGCAGAACAAGACUGACAGAGAGAGGGAUGGCUAUGGAGGGAAAAAAAGCUUGAAUAUAAAGGAUCUCCGACCACUUUCCAUUGUGAUGGCAGAAGUUGUCUAGGUCCCUGAGGAUGUUAGAAUCAAAAGUGUCAUUUUCAGGCCAUUGGGAGCCAUUGUCCAGUUUAUAUUGAGACCAGGCCAUGUUACAAUAUAAUAUGAGCCAUUUUGGCCAAAUUUUGGAAUGGAGGCCAAAGGCGUUAAAGUUGUGGAAGAGACAUCCGAGGAAGGAUGUCUUUGAGGGAGUGGACUGAGAGGCUCCCAUGGUGGAAUGAGUGAGGGAGGGGUGGAGACAGGAGACUUGGCCGAAGACUAGGAUGGUGGAAGAAGGCAUCCCCCGUGCCAUGGUUCAAGUUGGAGAGGAGUGAUAAUCACCCGUCCAGACAUCCCUGAAAGGGAGAUAUUGAGGGCCUGCAGGCAGGAAAGAGGAAACCUUUGGCCCAGUACUGGGUCUUUCGAGAAAGGAAGAGUGGACAAGGGUUCCAGACAGAAGGCAGAAGUCUCCUUUACUCAUCCCUGAGGCGGCCCUGGUGUUGGAUGUGUUUGUGAGCAAUGGAGUGGAGUAGGAAAUACUCUGGGUCUCUGGCAGGUUCUGGAAGGGGGAGUUCGGCUGGUGGAAGAGGUGGGGAGGGAAGGAGAAAGGGAGAAAGGGAGGCUGAACUCUACCACCUUCCCAGGUUUUGGCACCAAAAUUUAAGGUUAGCUGAGAGAAAGGAUGAGUAGACCCUAAGUCAGGUGAGCAAGUUUUAUUGUCCUGCCAGGCUGCUCCUUGACAGGCAGAGGAGGCAGCCUGGCUUACAGACUAUAGCAGGGCUUUAUAGGGCGAGGAACUGGGUCAGGGUGUGGGGACUGAGUCUGGGUUACAGGUGUCCUAACCACAUCCUGGAGAUGUUUUUUGCCAGCUUCGUUAUGCAAGGUGGGCAGGUUUUCUGACAGCAUCCUUGAAGCAUCUGCCAGUUCAGCUGAAAUCUUUUGAACAAACAGUUACUGGAAGGGUCAUUGGAAGGGGGGUCUUAUUCUAGCCUCGGGAGAGCUGUGUGGGGGUCACAAAUGACUGUAUUGGAAGACUUAUGGGAAAGGAGGGGAACAGUCUAGUUGGCUUGACCCUAACAGAGACGAUGGGUCAUCUGGCUGCUAAAUGUUAUAGGAUGGUCUCACUCAAAUUUCCAUCAGUUAAUAGCCUGAUAGAAUAAGAGCAUAUGCUGAGCCAAAGUGUUUCUGCUCUUCAUGAUUCCUUCUAAUUAAGUAGGUUAAUAUGAGCUUCUUCCUGUAGUAUUCCAUGGCAGGCUCAAGAUUCCAAAGGGCAGUGAAAAAGCAUGUGUUAAUGUACAAAUAUUUUCAAGUCUAUGUUUGCAUCACAUUUAUAAUGCCUCGUGGCCAAAACAAGCCUCAUCACCCACCUAGAGUCAAGGAUAGACAACACCUCUACUUGAGAGAAUACACAAUAUGCAGUGGCAUAGUCAAGCAAGGUUGUUUUUUUUAAUUUGCUGUCAUUUUACAAUCUACCAC